rnacentral:rRNA from 1 species
CUACGGGCCGCUGCAGGCGCGAAACCUCUUCAAUGCACGACAGUGUGAAAGGGGGAUCCUACGUGCUUAUGUAAAACAUAGGCUUUUGCAUAGUGUAAAUAGCUACGCGAAUAAGGGGUGGGAAAGACCGGUGCCAGCAGCCGCGGUAACACCGGCGUCCCAAGUGGCAAUCGUUAUUAUUGGGCCUAAAGCGUUCGUAGCCGGAUUGGCAAAUCUUUUGUGAAAUCGCUUGGCUUAACCAAGUGGCGUGCAGAAGACACUACCAAUCUAGGGACCGGGAGGAGUUAGGAGUAUUCUGGGGGGAGCGGUAAAAUGUUAUAAUCCUCGGAAGACUACCUGUGGCGAAGGCGCCUAACUAGAACGGAUCCGACGGUGAGGAACGAAGGCUAGGGGAGCAAACCGGAUUAGAUACCCGAGUAGUC